GAACCCAGGGCCUCCUCUGUUACUGUACACUGGGGCCUCUCCGUGAGUCAUGGUGUGGAAGUCUGCAACUCGUCUUCAAAACAGCUGCUACCAACAGCCCGCCCAGCCCUCCCUAGCCAGCGGCCAUCUCAUCCACAAUCUCAGAAACCUCAGCGAUGCCACAGGCUAAUCUCAUCUUAGCAAAUAACAAUAAUGAACACCACCACCACCACCACCAUCAUCACCA